rnacentral:rRNA from 1 species
CACGUAGGGGGCAAGCGUUGUUCGGAAUUACUGGGCGUAAAGAGUGUGUAGGUGGUGUCGUAAGUUUGGUGUGAAAUCUCCCGGCUUAACUGGGAGGGUGCGCCGAAGACUGCGAUGCUGGAGUAUGGGAGAGGAAAGCGGAAUUCCUGGUGUAGCGGUGAAAUGCGUAGAUAUUCGGAAGAACACCAGUGGCGAAGGCGGCUCACUGGACCGGCAUUGACGCUGAGGUGCGAAAGCGUGGGGAGCAAACAGG